AGGUAAGCAAGGCCCAAGGCCAGCGAUUGGGGCACCACGAACAGCAGAAGCCCCGAGUGCAGCCGGGGAGGGACGGCUCUGGAGGUCUUGCUGAGCCUCCUGGAGAGUACCCAAUGCAGUCCUUAAUCUCCUCGCAAUCUCCAAAGCAUCCUUGUGAUUGGGGUCAUCCCCCAACAAAAGCUGCACAUCCUGCAUCGCCAUUUCAUACUUCCUAAUAGCUUCGAAAGCCCUCGCCCUCCUAAGAAGUGCUCGG